rnacentral:rRNA from 1 species
GCCUACGGGGGGCAGCAGUAGGGAAUAUUGCUCAAUGGGGGAAACCCUGAAGCAGCAACGCCGCGUGGAGGAUGAAGGUUUUCGGAUUGUAAACUCCUUUUGUUAGAGAAGAUAAUGACGGUAUCUAACGAAUAAGCACCGGCUGACUCCGUGCCAGCAGCCGCGGUAAUACGGAGGGUGCAAGCGUUACUCGGAAUCACUGGGCGUAAAGAGCGCGUAGGCGGGAUAGCAAGUCAGAUGUGAAAUCCUAUGGCUUAACCAUAGAACUGCAUUUGAAACUGUUAUUCUAGAGUAUGGGAGAGGUA